UCUGCUGUUUUAUUUAGAAAUCAUGGCAAUUUGGCUCAGGAACCUCGAAGCCACAGCUCCAGUCAGUCAGCUCUGCUCGCAGCGUUCUCUGAACUGAGCCAGCAACUGCAGCACCAGCUUCUGUUCUCAUUAACCAACCGCGAUUGCAGUAGCCUGGGCCCACAGUCACCUGCCACACCCAAACCAGGGCCUUUCCCGGAAGCGUUUUAGAAGUGCCCACCCUGGACCCACCCAGGACCUCCAGAUCACCAGAGGGCAGGUGUGCAGUAAGGCUGCGUGAGAAGCCCUUGUUCUCUGUUUGCUUGGGUCUUGUGACUCCAUGAGAACAAGAUUCGGUGUUUUAAUAAACUAAGGAAUCAAGAAAAGGGAAAAGGAAGGGGAAUAUCGACCAAGAAGACAGCACCUGUGAAAGUGAAUGAUGAAAUCGCCGGCACUGAGCGGAGCGGAGGAACUGCUCGUUACACUACAACCACUUCCCGUCACUAACGGAACCCGAAAUGGCUGCUUUACAAGCCCACAGCAGCCGCCUCAGCAGGCAAGGUGAACCUGCUAUUGCUGUCACCCACCAAAAGCAAUUUCUAAAUAUAAACCUCAACAGCUAAAUAAUAAAUGUAUUCUGCUUUGUGUGUAA